ensembl:lncRNA
GUACACUCUAAGAAAUGACACACUGAUGUUGGUAGCAUUAUGUAAAUGCUUCAUGUUAAAACUAAUGCCACCAAUUGAUUUUUAACUUUAAACACAAGUAUGUUGUUUUGAAUUUAAUUAACAAGAUAAUAUUUCAAUACAACAAAAUGCAGUAAAUUAAAUCCAAUGUAAAAAGUUCAUUUAAAAUGAAGAGCACUUUAAUUUAAAGAGGAUUGUCCUAAUAGGCUCUCCGUACUUCUGAGUUUGCACAUGUGCAGUGUGGAAGUUUGAUCAUCCGCCAUUUUCAACUGAGACUUGCAUAUGCUUAGCAUCCUGGAUAGAAUCCAUCGCCAUCUGAGGAUUAUUUGAAUCCCAGCGUUGAUGUUUGACAGGAAUGCAUUCUGAAAGCUGUCUGUGUCUACUUAAAUGAAAAGCCAGAUGACCUGUUCAAGGAAUUCUUGGAUGUGGAUCUUGGUGCAAGCAGAGAAACAGAGCAGCUGACUUUGGGAGUCUAUGUUGUCAGACAUGAGAGCAAACUCUGCAGAUACACCUGAGGACAUUGCUGUCAUCAUAGAAGGAUGCACUGUGCUGCAAGCUCUUAGUGAUGUGGCAAAGGGUUGUGCCCUCCGGCUUUGACUAAUCUAUAGUCUAAAUCUGAGCUACCCAAAGCACCUGAAAUACACAUUUGAAUUUCUUCAGAAGGUGCCGAUGGAGUUGGAUGGGAACAACCUAUCCAUGAAGGUGCAGGUUCUGAAAAACAAACUGCUUGAGUGAAACAGCCUGCAGUGAACUAUAGAGGACACUGAACUUUAAGGUUCUCGAACCCUUCUCCUUGCACUUGAUAAACUGUUCAGUUUGAAUUGCCACAAGAACUUCUGCAAGGCCUUUCACUUUUCUGCGUUCUUUGUUCUUGAACCUUUACCAACAUCCAACUACACUGAAAAAGACUGCUCCUAACUUUGGACUUCAGUUUAAGUUUUGAAGCAAAGGUUAUUUUUCUAAAUAUGGACAAAAAUGACACAAAAGUAAUUUCUACCUGCUGUUUGCAGGGCUGUAUUGUGGGAUUUUCAUUGUAGCCCAAUCAAGUUUAAAUUAAGUCAUGUUAAUGUUAAAAAUGUUGGAAUCACAACACUUUCCAGUUUUAAUCAUUUCAGUUUAACAUGACAUUCUGUAUCUUGUCUUCCUGCACCUAAAAUGCACUUGAAUAUAUGUAAAGAUUGUUUGGGGGAAAAGAUCUAGAAGCAUUUGAAUUGCUCAAAGUGUGCUUCAACAAGUUUUACACAAAGUGUUAUUAAAGUUAGGUUAACUGAAUAAACUUGUGUUCGAUUUAUUUAAUUUACAAACUUAAAUAGACUAAGUUGCAAUUCUGUUAAAGUGAUUUAAUCCUAUAGUUUCAGUAGAGCGUGUUUUGGGUGAGUAGAUUUAUCAGAUUUACUUAAAAUUUGUUGUUCAAAUUAAAUAUAUCAUACAUUUUAUAUUUCACUAACCCAGUUGUGUGGAACCGGUUGACAUAACUGGGUGGAGUAAAUACAACAUGUUAUUUCUCAAAGUAAGUACAGCUUGUUUUGGUUGAGUAGGUUUUAUUUAGUCUUCUCAAUUUAAAUCAACAAGGUUAGUUAUAUCAACAUUAUGAUAUUCAGCUAAUACAACAUGAUUCUUUUGAUUUGCAUUUAAUUAUCCAAAUCUUAUCAGAUGUACUUAAAAUUUCUUGUUCAAAUUAAAUGUAUCAUACAUUUUAUAUUUCACUAACCCAGUUGUGUGGAACCGGUUGACAUAACCGG